rnacentral:tRNA from 1 species
GGGGCAGUAGCUCAGCUGGUCAGAGCUCCGAACUCAUAAUUCGGUCGUCGUCGGUUCAAGUCCGUCCUGCCCCA